AAGGAUCAUUACCUAGAGUUUGUAGACUU
rnacentral:rRNA from 1 species